UGAUACGAGGGUCAAAAGGUUAUGCGUUUCAUGCUUGCAUGAAAAAGCAUGAUUUUAGGAUUGUGAGAGCACGUAGUGCGUAACAAUCCGUACGUAUCC
rnacentral:sRNA from 1 species